CUGCCUCCUUCCCUCCCUCCCUCCCCAGCCAUCAAGCCUUUGGCAUCGUUAUCCUCCCUACUAAAUCCUACUGGAUGCAAGGCGGAAAGCGGCGAAGCC
rnacentral:lncRNA from 1 species